CCUACGGGUGGCAGCAGUGGGGAAUAUUGCACAAUGGGGGAAACCCUGAUGCAGCGACGCCGCGUGAGUGAAGAAGUAAUUCGUUAUGUAAAGCUCUAUCAGCAGGGAAGAAAAUGACGGUACCUGUGUAAGACUCCCCGGCUAACUACGUGCCAGCAGCCGCGGUUAUACGUGGGGGGCAAGCGUUAUCCGGAUUUACUGGGUGUAAAGGGAGCGUAGACGGCAGUGCAAGUCUGGAGUGAAAGGCGGGGGCUCAACCCCCGGACUGCUCUGGAAACUGUACGGCUGGAGUGCAGGAGAGGUAAGUGGAAUUCGUAGUGUAGCGGUGAAAUGCGUAGAUAUUAGGAGGAACACCAGUGGCGAAGGCGGCUUACUGGACUGUAACUGACGUUGAGGCUCGAAAGCGUGGGGAGCAAACAGGAUUAGAUACCCUUGUAGUC
rnacentral:rRNA from 1 species